rnacentral:rRNA from 1 species
AUGCCACACCCGAAGAUCCUUGUACUGUUUAUAAUGCGUAUGCAUUCCUUUACUAUUUUUCACCAUAAGAUCCUUUUAUCACUCAUUAAAAUUUCACAAGUUCUUGCCACACCCGAAGCUUCCGUUCUCGCUGACUUCACCGGAAUGCCUGCACCAUGUUCCACGGUACCAAUUUUUAAUCCUGUGUUUAGGUGCUUCUACAUGAACCCUGUGCAUAGUCUCGAUCACCACCCACCGGGGCAGCUACUUCUGCUGUCAGUAGCACUUUCCUCUGACAUAUGUGUUUUUCUGCCAUUGUGUGCUUCUACAUUAAUCCCGUGUCAUUGUAUUUAG